GAUCACUCCUGAUGCAUCUGAUAUUUCAAGAAAAUUCGAUGCAUUUAAAUGCAUUCAAAUGUUCACUUCCAGAAAAUUUGCAAAUCAUGGCUUGCUCAAACGUAUGGCUGUUGUCUUUGUCAAACUGUCAAACGUAUCAUUUCAGAAACUCAACAAGAGCUGGUACCUCAUCAAUAAAUUGUAGCAACAAACGUUCAACUUAUAGUUUAACCCAAGGUUUUGUAUCUCUUCCAGAUUAUCGGAAUUUGGUUAUCGACCUUGGUAUCGACUUUGAAUGAUGUCCUACAUAUUUUCGUGAACAGUUAAGGAUGAGAGCAUAUAGAAGGGGAAGAGCGAACAUCUCCAUUGAUAAAUCAAAGCCAUGAUGGCCUAGUUUGCUAUCCUUGCAAUCCUUUCAAUGAACCAUGGUGCAAAAAGGAAUAGUCAGGGUUGUGGACAUGAAGAAGUCAAUCUAGCCACAUUAUGAUGGAACAAUAUUCAAUAAGCCACACAAACUACAGGACUAGCUAUGGAAAGGAUGAAUAUUAAAAUCAACUGAAGUAUCAUUCGCACUCCCAACUAUCAUUAGAGCAAAUAAAACGAGUUGUUUGAUCAA